AGAGCGAACGCUGGCGGCAGGCUUAACACAUGCAAGUCGAGCGCCCCGCAAGGGGAGCGGCAGACGGGAGAGUAACACGUGGGAACGUACCUUUCGGUUCGGAACAACCCAGGGAAACUUGGGCUAAUACCGGAUACGCCCGCAAGGGGAAAGAUUUAUCGCCGGAAGAUCGGCCCGCGUCUGAUUAGCUAGUUGGUGAGGUAACGGCUCACCAAGGCGACGAUCAGUAGCUGGUCUGAGAGGAUGAUCAGCCACAUUGGGACUGAGACACGGCCCAGACUCCUACGGGAGGCAGCAGUGGGGAAUAUUGGACAAUGGGCGCAAGCCUGAUCCAGCCAUGCCGCGUGGGUGAUGAAGGCCCUAGGGUUGUAAAGCCCUUUCGGCGGGAAGAUAAUGACGGUACCCGCAGAAGAAGCCCGGCUAACUUCGUGCCAGCAGCCGC
rnacentral:rRNA from 1 species